GUGAGAUAAACAAACUGCUUUUCUUUAUGAAUUACCUAACCUCGGGUAUUCCUUUAUAGCAAUGCAAAAUAGACUAAGACACUAACUGACUUUUAAAAUCUUUUAUAUAUGGGGCACAAGGGAUGGUUGACUUUUGUGUGUAGAUGGUCUGCUGAGAAGCUGAGAUCCUAGAGAAUUUGGCAGGAAAGAAAUAUGGGUUGUACUUUAUUUGUGGCUGGCAAAAUUUUAUUUAGCUGCCUUUGAGAUGCCUCUGGAUCUUGUGAGGACUGCUUUGCACCUCUUUGGAGAUGUCUCACGCAUUCUUAUUUAAGUCAUAACCUUAGUUAAGGGGUUUUGGUUUUGGUGAGUUAUUUGAAAGAUAACUUCGGGGGGGAAGUUUGAAAGCCAAAAAUAUUGGCUGUUUGUCCCAGCUAAAAUUUCAUCAUGAGAGAUUUAAAAUUUUUUUUUUUUUUUUAAAAAAAGCUCUAUGGUCAGAAGUCAGCUUAAUUAAAAGCUGAUAUUCAGACUAUAAUACUUUUUUAAAAAAUAAAAGUUCCUUCUACUUUUUCUCUUUUGGAUUCUGCUAGUGGGAUUUACUUUUCAGUCAACUGAAACCCCCUUUUAAUUAUGUGAUUGGUUAUUCUGUUUCCUUUUUAUCUUUUUCACAUGAUUUUUGCUAAGAAAAAUGUAAAUCUUCAUUGGCCCUUCUGGAAAGCUUAAAAUAUCCAAAUUGGUACAUCUAAGACUUGUUAUUUCAUUUUCUUUCACUUCUACUCCUCCUUCUUUUUUGCCAUCUUCAAUUCCACAUAAAGAAAUCUAGACAGGACUUCUAGCAGCUCUAAGACCCCUUAAGGAACACAGAAAAAGUGCCACACACCCCCUUUUCGGGGUCAUAUAUUUUUCUCAUGGAUCCCCAAGAGUUGUGGACAGGUUCCUCUCAGUUCUAAGGCUCUGCUGUUUUGCAUUAAAUUCCGUGAUCUCUCUAACUUCUGGGGGUACCAGGAAUUACUUCGUACUGUGAGAGAAAACUUAAUCUUUGUGUGUGUGAUAGCUAGUGGGUCACCAGCAAAGGCUGCAAUUCUGGGGGGUGGCUGAGAGCAGUUACAAUGGAUGGUUAUUACUGUAUGGGGCUAUUCAUUUGUUUGUGCAUUUAGAUCAGAAAAGUGAGGUUUGGAAACUUGGAGGCUAUGGCUACAUCACAUCAUCAAGGGAUAAGACUCCCAUGGGGGAUGAACUGAUCACAGAGUGGGCUGAUUGACAUUGGGUUACCUUUGCCGUGAGGUGCCGUGAGGUACCCUGUGGAAGUGUUGCACAGCUUGGUCCUGUGGCAUUUCCUUUUUUUUUUUAAGGUCCCAGGAUUCACUGUAAAAAAUGAGGUUCUUGAUUUCUGAGGAUCUAGACGAUUUGCCUUCCUACUGCUUCUGCUUUUCACUAUAUAAGUGAAAAGACCUCAAAAGCUGCAAAUGUUUUGUUUGCGCUAUUCAUUAAUGGGCUCUACCCUGAGGUCAGUGGUCCAGUUUUAAAAUGGAGACUAAAUUAAAAGCCACCUAUCUAACUAAAAUUGGUCUCCUUAUAAAAUCCUCUGGUGAUUCUCAAUGAUUUUGUGUUACCUUAGUAUUCAUUUUAAUUUUCCUCUAACAUACCCAAAUUCUUUCUUCAAAAAGCUUAAAUUCUCUCUUUGUGCAUUGAGAUGUAAAUUUGCAACCCUGGUUUCUCUAAAACUCAAUAAGCACUUCAACCAUGCGGGACAAAUAAACUUUAUUUAAAAAUAUUUUUUAUUUUUUAUUCUUUUAGAGACAGGGUCUCACUCUGUCACCCAGGCUGGAGUGCAAUGUUAUGAUCCUAGCUCAGGGUCACCUCAAAUUCCUGGGCUGAAACUAUCCUCCCACCUCAGCUUCCCAAGUAGCUGGGACUCCAGGCACACACCGCCAUGCCUAACUAAUUUCUUUAUUUUUUAUGUUUUAGUAUAGACGGGGUCUUGCCUUGUUGCCCAGGCUAGUAUUGAACUCCUGGCUUCAAGUGAACCCCCUCCUGCGUGAGGCAUUGCACCCAGCCCAGACAAUCUUUAACUUGUUUCAUUUACAGAGGCACAAAUUAAUCUAACUGUCCUUUUAAACUAGUGAGUUUUAUCUGUCUCAUGACUAAAAUUUUAAAAUAAAAGCAAAUAUAGUUUACAUAUUUUCCCUACCCAAAUCUUAUGUUGAAUUGUAAUCCCGAAUGUUGGAAUUGGGGCCUGCUGGGUGGUGUUCGGGUCAUGGGGGUAGAUCUCUCAUGGCUUGAUGCUGUCCUCAGGAUAGUGACUGAGUUUUCCUGUAAUCUAGUUGGUUAAAGUGUGUGGCACCUCCCCCACUCUCUCUCUUGCUCCUGCUUUGCCAUGUGAAAUGCCUGCUCCCAUUUUGCUCUCUGCCAUGAGUAAAAGCUUCCUGAGGCCUCACGAGAGGCUGAGCAGAUGCCAGCACUAUGCUUCCUGUACAGCCUGCAGAAUCAUGAGCCAAUGAAAUCUCUUUUCUUUAUAAAUUACCCAGUCUCAAGUAUUUCGUUAUAAAACAGCCUAGCAAAAAAGCUAUAAAAUCUUUAUUUGUGUUUGUAUAUUAUGUAUAAAUGUGUAUAUGUCUGUGUUUGUAUAUUGUCUACAUGGUACUGAGUUGACUUAUAAAUAAAUGAGUACUCAUAAAUUAAAUAAUCUCAAAAUUUUUAAAUUCAUAUGACUUUAGUAACCUUUGAUAUAAAAAGCAGAUUUUUAAAUUGUUGGUAAAAUAAAAUAGAAAUGUCUUCAGAGUUUUAGACUUCUUUAUCUUAAUCUACUGGUCAAACAAAUGUAUGUUGUUUCUGCUAAAUGUUUUAAGGUCAAAAAACUUGUUUCUGUGAUAUUUUUGAUAAUUGCUUGAUUUGUCUUUAAGCAUAUGUCUUUGGUUUUGAGCCUUUAGAUUCCAGAGUCUAGACAGGUGGUCAUGGUGAGGCUUCCACAGCACCUAGACCACCAGCUGCAGGGUAGAGUCAAGCCCGAUACAUCCUCCCUGGCCCAGCUCUGCCUCCUGGCCAUGCUGGAAGGGGAUAGAUCCUCCAUUAACUGUCUUCGCAGCUCUGUCAUUUGUCCUGGGCUUUGCAUUUGAUACAUAACAAUUAAAAUUGCUUUACUUCCUAGCUUUCUCACUCGAAAUUGGGGUUACUAGAGUUAAAAUUGUAGAUAAUAUAUGUAAUUAAAACUACUAGAUAUAAGAGAAAUAAUUCUAUAUAAAGAGUGUACAAAGAAUGUAGGAUGUGUUUUGGGUGAGGAAGGUUAUAAGAAAAACAUGAAGCCAUAUGCUGUGGCUCAUGCCUGUAAUCCCAGCACUUUGGGAGGCUGAGGCAGGAGGACUGCUUGAGCCCAGGAGUUCACGACUAGCCUGGGCAACAUAGGGAGACCCCAUUUCUACACACACACAACUUGAGAAUGUGGUUUUUGUUAAAGGAAAAGUAUUUUUUUUCUAGUUUAGAGGUUAUUUGAAGGCUCCUUUAAGUUGAAAGGAUAAAAAAGAAUGACAGGAAAAACUGAAUGGAUAUAAAAAAUUGGGGAAAGAAAGAGAAUUGAAAAAAUUGUGAGAGAUUAUAAAAUGUUCAUGCAAAUCUUUUCUGUAGUCAAAGCUGAUUGAGAUUAGAUGGAUUUGUUUAUAUUUUAUUAAAUUAACUUUAGUGUUAAUAAUACACUGAUGAAAAGUACAAUUUGGUUUUCUCUUUUGAACAAGAUUUUCAUGUAGUACUAAUAAGAAAUGGUAAAAUAUUUGUUCACCUUUUCAGUAAAAAAGGAAGAAGACUUUGCCUCAUGCUGUCUUUAUUAGGUCUUUUGAUUGUUUGGAAAACUUGAUCUCCUCUCUAUCAAAUAGUAAAGGGUUUUUUUUCACUUUUUGAAAUCUUUUAAUUAUCAUUUUGACUAAAUGAAUGACUAAUAUUUUAUAGUGACUUGUGAUCUUAUUUUGAUAUCAAGUGUUUUAAACCUUUAAUAUUUGACAAACAUCCCAAAAUCAAAUUUCAAAUUCUAAAUUAAGUGUUUUUUAAGCUUGAACUAAAUAUUUGGACAUUCCAAAAAGAGCCCCUGGAAGUCCAAGAGAGACAUAUUAGGCUUAUUUGGUAUGUUAAAAUUAUAUGGGAAGCAUUGUCAAAUAAAAAGUGAUGUCUAACUUUCUUUGAGUUAUAUUCAUAUGGAUAUGUUAUUAAUGUAUUCCAAAAUUGUAUGAGAUUCCUAAAAUAUUAUAUAUCUUGGUAUAUUCAGUAAAUUGCUUAAUUCUGAUGCUCUUUUUCUAAAAGCUCUCUGUUCAUUCUAAAGUGAUGUGUCUUCAAGGAAGUUCAUGGGAAAGACUGAUAGAAUUGCUAACCUAACAUCAAGUAGAACAAGAACAUGAGACUAAAGUGAUGAAGGGCUGAAAUGAUUUUUCAUGACUUUUUGCUUAAACAUGGAUGAUUCUUUUUCUGUUUUGUUUUCUAGAAUCAAGAAACCUUUUUCCCUCUGAAGCUAUUCAUAGCUUAGAGUAAUUGGGUGAAAUAUAGUUUUGUAAGAAAAUGGAAACAUUUACCUCAUAGGAAUGUUUUCUUCUUUAACAGGACACAAUUGAAAACACUGGUUAUAUUACAAAAGCUUUGACUGGUAAUUUUGUGUCAUAUUUUCAAAUGUGACCAGGCUGCUUUGAGGAAUUGCAGUUUACUUUAAAGCCAACAGACUUGGAAAAAGACUGGCCGGGUACCAUAUCUACACUGUUCCCUUACAGGGUUCCUGACCUUGUGGCGUUUCUACCUCCAAGGGAAAAAGAUAACAAAUCUUUGGCUGACCAACUGAUGUUUAUCAGCAAUGCUUCCUCACAUCAAAUCUUUAUCAAAAUGAAGAAAUGUGAAAUGUGAUAUACAAAACAGUAUCACUUGGUUCAGAGCUCUAAAAUGGAGUCAAGAAGCCACUCUAUUACUACCUACACAACAUGAAACCCUGCAGGAAAAAAAAAAAGGAACAGGAACUUGCCUUGAACCUUUGAACUGGGCUAAACUACAAUGACCACAUCUUAGAAAGCAGCUGAAUUUCACCAGCACUGCAACUCCUGCAUAGCAACAACCAAUGUACCAUGGACUUAUGUACUAAGCCAGCCACCUCCACCAAUGAUAAUUCUUUCAAAACAACUUGUGCAAUCACUCUCGGCAUCCUUUGAAAAAUUCCUACUCUCCUUCCUGUCUUUGGAAAACAAUUUGGCUCUUAGCCAAAUCCGUGUCUCCCAAAUUGCAACUUUUAAGGCCUCAAAUGCCUAGUCUUACUGCAUUGCACUCUGGUGUUUUGCCCCUUCUUACUUGACAUAUUAUACUUACAUCUCCAUUUCUAGUUGUGUUGAUUUUUUUAUUUUUUUAUUUUUAUUUUUAUUUUUGGAUAGUGUCUCACUCUGUCACCCAGGCUGGAGUACAGUGAUGCUGUCAGGGCUCACUGCAGUCUUGACCACCUGGGUUCAAGUGAUCCUCCCGCCUCAGCCUCCCAUGUAGCUGGGACUACAGGCAUGCACCACCAUGCCUGGCUAGUUUUCUUACUUUUGGUAGACACAUGGUUUCACCAUGUUGCCCAGGCUGGUCACAAACUUCUGGGUUCAAGUGAUCCACCUGCCUUGGCCUCCCGAAGUGCUUGUAUUACAGGUGUAAGCCACUGUGCCUGGCCUUGUAUCAACUUUUUGAUAGUAUCUCUUGACAGAAUGUAAAUGUGAGUAAUACAGACUCAGCAUGGUAGAGAAAUGAUAUAUGAAGGAGUGGUAUUACAGAGACAGGAUAGAUUAUUCGAUAAAUUCGGCUCUGGGACAAUUGGAUAUCAAACCAUAUGCCCUAUUCAAAAAUCAGUUGUUGGUGGAUCAAAAUUUUAUUUUAAAACUUUAUUUUUUAAAUAAAUUUUUGUUUUAUUUUAUCAUAUAUAUGUGUGUGUGUGUAUAUAUAUAAGCAUCUGCAUGGAAUUUUUCCCAUCUUUUUAAGUGUUUGAGGGUACACAGUAGAUAUAUAUAUAUUUAUGGGGUACAUAAAAUAUUUUCUACAGGCAUGCGAUGCAAAAUAGUCACAUCAGAGUGAAUGGGGUAGCCAUCCCCCCAGGCACUUAUUCUUUGUAUUAUAAACAAUCCAAUUGUACUCUUUUAGUUAUUUUGAAAUAUAGAACUUAAUUAUUUUUGACUACAGUCACCCUGUAGUGGUAGCAAAAUACUAAGUCUUAUUCAUUCUUUCAAACUAUUUUUGUACCUUUUAACCAUGCCCAACUCCCGCCUGCCCAGGACCCCACUACCCUUUGCAGCCUCUGGUAGCCAUCCUUCUACUCUCUAUGUCCAUAAGUUCACCUGUUUUGAUUUUUAGUUCCCACAAAUAAGUGAGAACAUGCAAAAUUUUUCUUUCUCUGCCUGCCUUAUUUCACUUAACAUCAUGACCUCAAGUUCCAUCCAUGUUGUUGCCAAUUACAGGAUCUCAUUCCUUUUUUAUGGCUGCACAGUACUCCAUUGCUUAUAUGUGCCAUAUUUUCUUUAUCCAUUUAUCUGUUGAUGGAGACUUAGGUUGCUUCCAAAGCUUGACUGUUAUGAAUAGUGCUGCAAUAAACAUGGAGUGCAGAUAUAACCUUGAUACACUGAUUUCCAUUCUUUUGUGUAUAUACCCAGGGGUGGGUGUAUAUACCCAGAGUGAAAUUCCGUCUCGGAAAAAAAAAAAAAAAAAAAAAAAAAGAGUUCUUUUGUGACCUAAAUAUGGUCUAUCCUUGAGAAAAUCUAUGUGCUGAGGAAAGAUGGUGUAUUUUACAGAUGUU
rnacentral:lncRNA from 1 species